UACCAGCACCCCGAGUGGUCGGGACGUUUAUCGGGCCUAAAGCAUCCGUAGCCGGUUCUACAAGUCUUCCGUUAAAUCCAACUGCUUAACAGGUGGGCUGCGGAAGAUACUAUAGAGCUAGGAGGCGGGAGAGGCAAGCGGUACUCGAUGGGUAGGGGUAAAAUCCGUUGAUCCAUUGAAGACCACCAGUGGCGAAGGCGGCUUGCCAGAACGCGCUCGACGGUGAGGGAUGAAAGCUGGGGGGAGCAAACCGG
rnacentral:rRNA from 1 species